rnacentral:lncRNA from 1 species
CUUUAGCGUUCUUACAAUUGCACUCUUGUCUCUUACUCUCUGCUGCUGACCAGAUAGAGCUGUGUCUCAGGAUUUCACAACUCUCUCCCUGCCUCAGCACCCUCUGAAUGCCUGAUUUUCCUCUGACACUAUGGUAGAGCCCACCUAAGUCAAGAAGAGUCUUAAGAAUGGCGUAUUCUCUAGUCCUGAUAGCCUUGUCCAAUCAAGAAAUGGGCUUCAGUGUCAGGAAGAGGCUUCAAUUUAUUUAUUUUACAAAAACCAUGGUAUGAGUUGGAAGAACUGGUGAGAACUAUCCCAAACCAUCCUUGUUUCAGGUAUGAAAUCACCUCUGCCAUAUCCCCCACACAUGUUCGUCUAUCAA